CUCAGUUCGGAUUGCAGGCUGCAACUCGCCUGCAUGAAGCUGGAAUUGCUAGUAAUCGCGGAUCAGCAAGCCGCGGUGAAUACGUUCCCGGGCCUUGUACACACCGCCCGUCACACCAUGAGAGUCGGGAACACCCGAAGUCCGUAGUCUAACCGCAAGGGGGGCGCGGCCGAAGGUGGGUCCGGUAAUUGGGGUGAAGUCGUAACAAGGUACC
rnacentral:rRNA from 1 species